UGAUCCUGUAUUAGUGACAAAAUAACUCUGUUUUCAAGCAGCAUUCCUUCCCCCUUGCAUCCAUUUAGCUGCUGGAGGAGUGCUCUGAGAAGCUGACUCUGAACAUGGCUGCACAAUGAGAGUUCUUGGCAGGCGGCACCGAGGCACCAGAACCAGGCACAGACCCCACGUUGCAACUGGAGAAACAUUUCUGUGGCCACCCAAAAAAAACCCCAGAAGGUUUCAGAUGAUUGCACACUGAGGAUGAAUCUUCUCCAGUGAGACACUAACGCAAGGUAUGUGGAGAAAAAAUUUGCAAUAGCAUAGGUGGUAAAGCAGAGUUUGUAGGACAGGAAUUCUGUUUACUACAUUGAUGACUUAGAAUGAAAAUUGAAUCUAGACUAUUUUAAAAAAUAAUUUGUGUGGGUUGGUACCCUUAAUUUGAACUAAAAGUGACAAAUAAAUAAUCAGUAAAUAAACUUGUGAUUAAAGUU
rnacentral:lncRNA from 1 species